GCACCAACAACCAGAAAUUUUUCCACGAAAGUAGUGAAAUUAGUAUGAACUAAUUAUUGAAUCAUAUCUCUGAUAACAAUUGCUAUCUAUCUGCGCAAACAGAUGUCAAUGCCCGAGGGUUGAGAUUCAUUCUUAAAUGCAAUAGCUCAGCCCUCUAAAACAAAACAAAGAACCAAUUGUACAGCAAAGCUUAAGCUAUCACUCCAUAACUGCAACUCCUCCAGCAGCUUUUAUCUUCUCUAUUAUGCCAUUUGCUUCCUCUUUUGUGACCCCUUGUUUAAGCAAAACAGGUACCUUCUCCACCAGGUCUUUGGCCUCCUUCAACCCCAAAUUAGUAAAACCUCUCACCUCUUUAAUUACCUUGAUUUUUGCUGCUGCAUCAAACUUCUCCAACUUCACAUCAAAUGUUGUUUUCUCUUUCUUCUCCUCAACCUUUGUAGCUCCAGCAGCUGGGGCUCCUUGGAGACCCAAGUCCAUGCCUUCUGUUGAAAUUG
rnacentral:misc_RNA from 1 species